rnacentral:rRNA from 1 species
AAUCUGCGAAAAGCGUCGGUAAGGUGAUAUGAACCGUUAUAACCGGCGAUACCCGAAUGGGGAAACCCAGUGUGUUUCGACACACUAUCAUGUCAUGAAUACAUAGUGGCAUGAGGCGAACCGGGGGAACUGAAACAUCUAAGUACCCCGAGGAAAAGAAAUCAACCGAGAUUCCCCCAGUAGCGGCGAGCGAACGGGGAGGAGCCCAGAGCCUGAAUCAGUGUGUGUGUUAGUGGAAGCGUCUGGAAAGGCGUGCGAUACAGGGUGACAGCCCCGUACACAAAAAUGCACAUAUUGUGAGCUCGAUGAGUAGGGCGGGACACGUGGUAUCCUGUCUGAAUAUGGGGGGACCAUCCUCCAAGGCUAAAUACUCCUGACUGACCGAUAGUGAACCAGUACCGUGAGGGAAAGGCGAAAAGAACCCCGGCGAGGGGAGUGAAAUAGAACCUGAAACCGUGUACGUACAAGCAGUGGGAGCCUCUUAAUGGGGUGACUGCGUACCUUUUGUAUAAUGGGUCAGCGACUUAUAUUCUGUAGCAAGGUUAACCGAAUAGGGGAGCCGAAGGGAAACCGAGUCUUAACUGGGCGUUAAGUUGCAGGGUAUAGACCCGAAACCCGGUGAUCUAGCCAUGGGCAGGUUGAAGGUUGGGUAACACUAACUGGAGGACCGAACCGACUAAUGUUGAAAAAUUAGCGGAUGACUUGUGGCUGGGGGUGAAAGGCCAAUCAAACCGGGAGAUAGCUGGUUCUCCCCGAAAGCUAUUUAGGUAGCGCCUCGUGAAUUCAUCUUCGGGGGUAGAGCACUGUUUCGGCUAGGGGGUCAUCCCGACUUACCAACCCGAUGCAAACUACGAAUACCGAAGAAUGUUAUCACGGGAGACACACGGCGGGUGCUAACGUCCGUCGUGAAGAGGGAAACAACCCAGACCGCCAGCUAAGGUCCCAAAGUCAUGGUUAAGUGGGAAACGAUGUGGGAAGGCAUAGACAGCCAGGAUGUUGGCUUAGAAGCAGCCAUCAUUUAAAGAAAGCGUAAUAGCUCACUGGUCGAGUCGGCCUGCGCGGAAGAUGUAACGGGGCUAAACCAUGCACCGAAGCUGCGGCAGCGACACUAUGUGUUGUUGGGUAGGGGAGCGUUCUGUAAGCCUGUGAAGGUGGCCUGUGAGGGUUGCUGGAGGUAUCAGAAGUGCGAAUGCUGACAUAAGUAACGAUAAAGCGGGUGAAAAGCCCGCUCGCCGGAAGACCAAGGGUUCCUGUCCAACGUUAAUCGGGGCAGGGUGAGUCGACCCCUAAGGCGAGGCCGAAAGGCGUAGUCGAUGGGAAACAGGUUAAUAUUCCUGUACUUGGUGUUACUGCGAAGGGGGGACGGAGAAGGCUAUGUUAGCCGGGCGACGGUUGUCCCGGUUUAAGCAUGUAGGCUGGUUGUCCAGGCAAAUCCGGAUAAUCAAGGCUGAGGUGUGAUGACGAGGCACUACGGUGCUGAAGUAACAAAUGCCCUGCUUCCAGGAAAAGCCUCUAAGCAUCAGGUAACAUCAAAUCGUACCCCAAACCGACACAGGUGGUCAGGUAGAGAAUACCAAGGCGCUUGAGAGAACUCGGGUGAAGGAACUAGGCAAAAUGGUGCCGUAACUUCGGGAGAAGGCACGCUGAUAUGUAGGUGAAGCGACUUGCUCGUGGAGCUGAAAUCAGUCGAAGAUACCAGCUGGCUGCAACUGUUUAAUAAAAACACAGCACUGUGCAAACACGAAAGUGGACGUAUACGGUGUGACGCCUGCCCGGUGCUGGAAGGUUAAUUGAUGGGGUCAGCCGCAAGGCGAAGCUCUUGAUCGAAGCCCCAGUAAACGGCGGCCGUAACUAUAACGGUCCUAAGGUAGCGAAAUUCCUUGUCGGGUAAGUUCCGACCUGCACGAAUGGCGUAAUGAUGGCCAGGCUGUCUCCACCCGAGACUCAGUGAAAUUGAACUCGCUGUGAAGAUGCAGUGUACCCGCGGCAAGACGGAAAGACCCCGUGAACCUUUACUAUAGCUUGACACUGAACAUUGAGCCUUGAUGUGUAGGAUAGGUGGGAGGCUUUGAAGUGUGGACGCCAGUCUGCAUGGAGCCGACCUUGAAAUACCACCCUUUAAUGUUUGAUGUUCUAACGUUGGCCCGUAAUCCGGGUUGCGGACAGUGUCUGGUGGGUAGUUUGACUGGGGCGGUCUCCUCCUAAAGAGUAACGGAGGAGCACGAAGGUUGGCUAAUCCUGGUCGGACAUCAGGAGGUUAGUGCAAUGGCAUAAGCCAGCUUGACUGCGAGCGUGACGGCGCGAGCAGGUGCGAAAGCAGGUCAUAGUGAUCCGGUGGUUCUGAAUGGAAGGGCCAUCGCUCAACGGAUAAAAGGUACUCCGGGGAUAACAGGCUGAUACCGCCCAAGAGUUCAUAUCGACGGCGGUGUUUGGCACCUCGAUGUCGGCUCAUCACAUCCUGGGGCUGAAGUAGGUCCCAAGGGUAUGGCUGUUCGCCAUUUAAAGUGGUACGCGAGCUGGGUUUAGAACGUCGUGAGACAGUUCGGUCCCUAUCUGCCGUGGGCG